rnacentral:rRNA from 1 species
GAUGAACGCUAGCUACAGGCUUAACACAUGCAAGUCGAGGGGUAACGAGAGGAAAGCUUGCUUUCCUUGUCGACGACCGGCGCACGGGUGAGUAACGCGUAUCCAACCUGCCCCCAACUAAGGAAUAACCUUGCGAAAGUAAGACUAAUACCUUAUAAUUUCCUCAGAUGUCAUCUGACGAGGAAUAAAGAUUUAUCGGUUGUGGAUGGGGAUGCGUCUGAUUGGCUUGUUGGCGGGGUAACGGGCCACCAAGGCAACGAUCAGUAGGGGUUCUGAGAGAGAGGUCCCCCACAUUGGAACUGAGACACGGUACAAACUCCUACGGGAAGCAGCAGUGAGGAAUAUUGGUCAAUGGGCGGAAGCCUGAACCAGCCAAGUAGCGUGCAGGAUGACGGCCCUAUGGGUUGUAAACUGCUUUUAUACAGGAAUAAAGUUAGCCACGUGUGGUUAUUUGUAGGUACUGUAUGAAUAAGGACCGGCUAAUUCCGUGCCAGCAGCCGCGGUAA